UACGUAGGGUGCAAGCGUUGUCCGGAAUUAUUGGGCGUAAAGAGCGUGUAGGCGGCUUGGUAGGUCCGCUGUGAAAACUCGAGGCUCAACCUCGAGACGCCGAUGGAAACCAUCAGACUAGAGUCCGGAAGAGGAGAGUGGAAUUCCUGGUGUAGCGGUGAAAUGCGCAGAUAUCAGGAAGAACACCCGUGGCUAAGGCGGCUCUCUAGUACGGUACUGACGCUGAGACGCGAAAGCGUGGGGAGCGAACAGG
rnacentral:rRNA from 1 species